rnacentral:rRNA from 1 species
AACGAACGCUGGCGGCAUGCCUAACACAUGCAAGUCGAACGAGACCUUCGGGUCUAGUGGCGCACGGGUGCGUAACGCGUGGGAACCUGCCUUUAGGUUCGGAAUAACAGUGAGAAAUUACUGCUAAUACCGGAUGAUGUCUUCGGACCAAAGAUUUAUCGCCUUUAGAUGGGCCCGCGUUGGAUUAGCUAGUUGGUGGGGUAAAGGCCUACCAAGGCGACGAUCCAUAGCUGGUCUGAGAGGAUGACCAGCCACACUGGAACUGAGACACGGUCCAGACUCCUACGGGAGGCAGCAGUGGGGAAUAUUGCACAAUGGGCGCAAGCCUGAUGCAGCCAUGCCGCGUGUGUGAAGAAGGCC